GAUGAACGCUGGCGGCGUGCCUAACACAUGCAAGUCGAGCGGCAGCGAGGGGUGCUUGCACCCUGUCGGCGAGCGGCGGACGGCUGAGUAACGCGUGGGAACGUGCCCCAAGGUGAGGAAUAACUGCCCGAAAGGGUAGCUAAUACCGCAUAUUAUCUUCGGAUCAAAGGAUUUAUCCGCUUUGGGAGCGGCUCGCGUCGGAUUAGGUAGUUGGUGUGGUAAUGGCUCACCAAGCCGACGAUCCGUAGCUGGUCUGAGAGGAUGACCAGCCAGACUGGAACUGAGACACGGUCCAGACUCCUACGGGAGGCAGCAGUGAGGAAUCUUCCACAAUGGGCGAAAGCCUGAUGGAGCAACGCCGCGUGCAGGACGAAGGCCUUCGGGUUGUAAACUGCUUUUAUAAGUGAGGAAUAUGACGGUAACUUAUGAAUAAGGAUCGGCUAACUACGUG
rnacentral:rRNA from 1 species